rnacentral:rRNA from 1 species
UACGGGGGGGGCAAGCGUUGUUCGGAAUUACUGGGCGUAAAGGGCUCGUAGGCGGCCAACUAAGUCAGACGUGAAAUCCCUCGGCUUAACCGGGGAACUGCGUCUGAUACUGGAUGGCUUGAGGUUGGGAGAGGGAUGCGGAAUUCCAGGUGUAGCGGUGAAAUGCGUAGAUAUCUGGAGGAACACCGGUGGCGAAGGCGGCAUCCUGGACCAACACUGACACUGAUGAGCGAAAGCCAGGGGAGCAAACGGG